rnacentral:rRNA from 1 species
CCGGAGCUAAUACCGGAUAGUUCCUUGAACCGCAUGGUUCAAGGAUGAAAGACGGUUUCGGCUGUCACUUACAGAUGGACCCGCGGCGCAUUAGCUAGUUGGUGAGGUAACGGCUCACCAAGGCGACGAUGCGUAGCCGACCUGAGAGGGUGAUCGGCCACACUGGGACUGAGACACGGCCCAGACUCCUACGGGAGGCAGCAGUAGGGAAUCUUCCGCAAUGGACGAAAGUCUGACGGAGCAACGCCGCGUGAGUGAUGAAGGUUUUCGGAUCGUAAAGCUCUGUUGUUAGGGAAGAACAAGUGCAAGAGUAACUGCUUGCACCUUGACGGUACCUAACCAGAAAGCCACGGCUAACUACGUGCCAGCAGCCGCGGUAAUACGUAGGUAGCAAGCGUUGUCCGGAAUUAUUGGGCGUAAAGGGCUCGCAGGCGGUUUCUUAAGUCUGAUGUGAAAGCCCCCGGCUCAACCGGGGAGGGUCAUUGGAAACUGGGAAACUUGAGUGCAGAAGAGGAGAGUGGAAUUCCACGUGUAGCGGUGAAAUGCGUNAGANGAUGUAGGAGGAACACCAGUGGCGAAGGCGACUCUCUGGUCUGUAACUGACGCUGAGGAGCGAAAGCGUGGGGAGCGAACAGGAUUAGAUACCCUGGUAGUCCACGCCGUAAACGAUGAGUGCUAAGUGUUAGGGGGUUUCCGCCCCUUAGUGCUGCAGCUAACGCAUUAAGCACUCCGCCUGGGAAGUANCGGUCGCAAGACUGAAACUCAAAGGAAUUGACGGGGGCCCGCACAAGCGGUGGAGCGUGUGGUUUAAUUCGAAGCAACGCGAAGAACCUUACCAGGUCUUGACAUCCUCUGACAACCCUAGAGAUAGGGCUUUCCCUUCGGGGACAGAGUGACAGGUGGUGCAUGGUUGUCGUCAGCUCGUGUCGUGAGAUGUUGGGUUAAGUCCCGCAACGAGCGCAACCCUUGAUCUUAGUUGCCAGCAUUUAGUUGGGCACUCUAAGGUGACUGCCGGUGACAAACCGGAGGAAGGUGGGGAUGACGUCAAAUCAUCAUGCCCCUUAUGACCUGGGCUACACACGUGCUACAAUGGACAGAACAAAGGGCUGCGAGACCGCAAGGUUUAGCCAAUCCCACAAAUCUGUUCUCAGUUCGGAUCGCAGUCUGCAACUCGACUGCGUGAAGCUGGAACCGCUAGUAAUCGCAGAUCAGAAUGCCGCGGUGAAUACGUUCCC